CCCUUUGUUCAAUUCCGCUGCGAGAAAACGAAAAGAAACAAAGAGCACUAGAGAGAGAGAGAGAGAGGAAACAUAGUAGAAGAGAAGAAAUGAGAAUUCGAUCGAGAGUUGGGGCUGGAUUACGGUAGAGGAGGAAGGAACUAAAUCGAGAGGACGAAAGGGGAGCGAGAGUUCGGGGUGACAGCAACAAAGAACCGAAGGAGUCGAGGAGAUCAAGGCUAUACACCUGGAAGGCUCGACUUGUUAUUUAUCAUUUUGGGAGUCUUUGUGAGUAUUUUUAUUCGAUUAUAGAAUGAAAUCAAAUCUUAAAUAAUUAUAUAAAUGCUUGUUUGAAUGAGAUAAGUUAAAUGAAGAUAGUAUGAGAAUUUUGAGGAUU